AUUGCAUGUAUUGUGUCCAGGAAUUUUCACUUGGAUCUUCCAAUUCGUCUUGAAAGGUCUCACAUCAGCAAGGGUGGUGAUACCGUGAUUUUGAGCCAUGGUUACGAAAUAGUAAAAAGUGAAGAAUGCUUUUAUGAAAGAGUAUCUCAAACAAUAUUGGAAUUAAUUGUGAGGUUGUGAUAGUCGGCGAAGCCCAUUUGUCAAAUAUGAAGCCCAUCUAAAAUGUCAUCCAACCCAUUAAUAUUGAGAGGGACUGUUAUUCGGAUCAUCCAACUCAGCAAAUAUAGAUCCGCGUGUUGUUUCGUUUGUAAUAUUAGAAGAUC